UUGCAUAAGCCUACAUUACCUUGUGCUAAAUUUUUAUCAAAUAAAUAAGAAUUUUGAGACUCGAACUCAUAACCAUUUAGUCAUCAUAACUUUGAUAUAUGUUAAAAAACCAUCUUAAUUCAAUAACUUAAACUAUUAGGUGAGAUCUCAAAGUAUGAUUCAUACUAUUAUCUAACCAGAGCAAACUAUACAAGCCCAAAGUUGGAGUCUAGAAUCACAGUUCAAACAACCUUCUCUUCAAGUUCCAUUCCUCGAGGAAAAAAAAAUAAAAAACAACCAAGCCUGACAUUUAACCUGACAACAAAAAUCCCAUCUCCAGCCUUCUUUUAAGAAAUACCCUUACAUACCCAUUCCUGUCACAAAUCUAAUGCAUAUAUUAGAAUAGCACUUCGGAUACAGUUAAUUUUCUGACAAACAGAACCAACUCUAUCUUGUAACCAAGCAGAUCCCGAACUUCUAGCUAUUUAAGCAAGGGAUAAAAUGGCUGAAGGUUCAGUGAACUUUCUCCUCUCGAAGCUUGCUCAAAUUCUCGAAGAAGAGGGCCAGCUUUUGACAGGGGUUCGGACAGAAGCUGAGUAUAUCAGUUCCAUCGGUGGUGUCUUGGCAGCAAAAGACAAGAAUAAAAUAAAAUAGACGAAUGGGAAAUGGUCCAUCGUAGCCUUGGUGCUGGAUUUGAAAACAACGACACACUGAUGAAUACGAGAAAAAUACUGUCACUGAGUUACAAUGAUUUGCCUUACUAUCUCAAAUCUUGCUUGUUGUAUUUCAGCAUCUUCCCUGCAGGUAAUCCAAUUAAGCGGAUGAAACUUAUUCGGCUAUGGAUAGCUGAAGGAUUUGUGGAAGGAAAGGAAGGAAUGACAUUAGAGGAAGUUGCAGAAGACUACCUGAAUGAGCUCAUAAAAAGAAGCUUGGUUCGUGUAGUAAAGGCAGCCAGUGAUGGACGCGUCAAAACAUGCCGCAUCCAUGACCUUCUGCGCGAGAUUAUGAUUACAAAGGCAAAAGACCAAGACUUUGUAGCAAUAGCCAAGGAAGAAGGCAUGGUGUUGUCUGAAAAAGUCCGUCGGGUGUCAUUACAUAAAGCCGUGCCAAGCAUACAACGAAGACAUGUUGCCUCUCGACUUCGUUCAGUGCUCAUAUUUUGGGGGGCAGAUUCUUGUCCUGAUUCUCCUGCGCCUAAUUUGUCGUUCGGUCACCUGAGGUUGCUUAAUGUGUUAGAUCUGGAAGGAGCACCUCUGAAGGAAUUCCCCAGCAAAGUUUCCAGCCUCUUCCUCUUAAAGUAUCUAAGUUUGAGGAACACCAAUGUCAAUUCCAUUCCAAGCUCCAUUAGCAAGCUUCUGAAUCUGGAAACGUUGGAUCUAAAACAUACUCAAAUCUCUGAAUUGCCUGUUGGGAUUCUGAAGCUCAGAAAACUUCGCCACCUUUUGGUGUAUCGUUAUGAAAUUGAUUGUGAUGACAGGAUUCACAUCAAAUAUGGUUUCCAACCACCACCUCAAAUCGGAAGUCUACAAUCCUUACAAAAACUCUGCUUUGUAGAGGCAAAUCAAGGCGGUGAUCUUCUGCUUGAACUGGGAAGGUUGAAUCAGUUGAGACGGUUAGGCAUUGUAAGGUUCAGGAAGGAACAUGGGAAGGCUCUAUGUUCUUCUGUUACAAAGCUGACAGACCUUCGUGCCUUAUCCAUUUCUUCAAUCACAGACAGUGAAUUUAUUGAUUUGGAGUACUUAUCAUCUCCUCCUCGAUUUCUUCAGCGAGUGUACCUGACAGGACGGUUACAGAGUUUACCAGAGUGGUUGCAUUAUUCGGAUAGCUUGGUCAAGUUGGUUUUAAAAUGGAGUCGGUUAAGUGAUGAUCCACUGCUAUCUCUUCAGCAUCUGCCCAAUCUAGUACACCUCAAGCUUAUACAGGCUUACAAUGGGGAGAUGCUGUGUUUCCAAGCUAAGGGAUUUCAACGGCUCAGGUUCCUGAGCAUAAAUAAAUUAGAGAGUCUCAGAGUGAUAACUGUUCAACAAGGAGCAAUGCCUUGUCUUGAAAAGCUGAUCGUCCAAAGCUGCAAGGAAUUGAAAACGGUGCCAUCAGGUAUUGAACACCUGACCACGCUGAAGGUAUUGGAAUUUUUCAAUAUGCCAAAAGAACUCAUCAUGACGUUGCAACCCAGUGAAGAGAAUGGGGAUGAUUUGAAGGUUGAGCAUGUUCCUGAUGUUUACUCACCUACUGGAACAACGGUAUAUUGGAUAACUUCACUUUAUUCACCAAAGAGGAUGGAAGUUCUGCCCUGCCUAGCCCUAGCGGUAGCAGGCGACUAUAUUUGGAAAUAACAUGUUUUGAUUUGUUAUAAAGUAUUUUUAAUUUAUCUCUGUGAUUGUAAAUUAACCAUGAAUAAGCUUAUCUCUGAUUUUGUCUCCCUUCCCUUCGUUCUCUGUUGUGUUCUCUUAAUUUGGUGUACGGUGUGCUGUGUAAACUGUGAAUAUUUCUCGUUAAUAUUCAAAUAAUCUGUGUCGAUGGAGGAGUGUGGAGCUAGGGUUGAUUUUUCUACAAGGCUGCUAUAUAUCAUAUAUAAGAAUGUUUGGAUGAGAGGUAGAUUGUGUUUUUUUUAUAUAGUAAAAACAUGUUUUUAUAGUUUUUGAAGGUGUGAUUUGUGCUUAAAAUGUAUUGUAUCUUUGAAAAAAAACCACCACACUUCCAAGCGAAACACCCUCAAAAAGCUUUCUGACUUCAGUUUUUGAAAUAGUCUUUACCGAGCUUUUUAUAGCAUACGCAUCUCGCAACAAAAAUGCUAUUUAGAAGAGUUAAAUUGAUAAUACAAAUUUUUAAAUAGUUUAAAUAUAAUUUUUUUGUUUAUAUAUACUCUAUGGUAAAAAAAACUCAUUUAAAAAAGUUAAUACUAUUUAUUAAUUAUAACGAACUAAUACAACUUCAAUCAAAAACCUUUUUAUUAAAAAUAAAUUUAUUUUUAAUUUUUUUGAUUGAUAUAUAAAAAUAGUUUUUCAUGUAAAAAUAAUAUUAUUUUGACUCUCCAAUAUAGUUUUUUCAUUGAAGCUGUAAAAAUAAGAUAUGAAAGUCCAUUUAAUAUAUCCAUUGGAUCCAAUGCCCUAUUGAGGAGGCCCAUAGGCCAAUGAGAAUCACUGGCUUUAAGCCUUUAAGAUACAAAACAGUCAGCAUGGUACAAAUCAAUAAGGGUUGCAACCAAUUGCCCCAUUCCCCUUCUCUUAAGGGAGUAAUGUUUCUUGUUUCAAUUUGUAUCCAACACUUAUAGCUUGUCAUUAAGAUUUAUACAAAUAAAAUCUACAUGUAAAAUUAUAUUCCAGAAAGAUAUAAAGAACCCAUAAUCAAUAAAAGCAUAACAAAAAAAAAUACUCUAAGUCAUUUGAUGCACGUGAAAGCUAUGUAGGACAACAAUAACACAAAAAUCAUUAAAAAAAAACACGGAAGGUUUAAUGAUAAAAAAAAUAUUACAAACGUGACCCUGAAUUCACAAUUUUAUUUUCUGAAAAAUUAAGUAUAUGGUAACUGUCUUUUUAAGAGGUUCACAAGAGCUCUUAAAAAACUCUACCUCUUUAGAAAUAACUAGGAAUAUAAAAAUAUAAAAGGAAUAAAUAAAGAAAGAAAUAUGAAUUAAAAUAUGGAAUCUGAAAAACUAUAGAAAAAAUAAUAAAAUCGGAGCAUCAAGGCUCUAAAUUUAAAUGACUUAUAUAUAUGAUCGAUAUUUAACCCAACAUUUUUUUUUUUUUGGAUUAGGACUUUUAAUUCGUAAGUUAUCACGUAAGGAAGCUUGUGCAUGAUCCAAUUAAGGUGAAUCAUCAGCUGCAUAUCUCUCCAACUUGAUAAAAACAUCUCAUAGAUUCCCCCGUCUCAAGAUUUAUUAGGGAUGAUUGUAAAUUUCUCAGUUUCUUAAUAAGAAGUGUUAGGGAAAACAUUGAUUUGUUUAAAAAUUCUUCAAAAAAGUAUUUAUCAUGAUUUUAACAAUUAGAUGCUUAACUUUGAAGAGUGAAAAUUAUUAUUAUAAAAUAGUUUAAAUCUAUAAUAAUUUUCACUUAAAAAAAUAUGAAAAGUGCUUUUUUCUUUUAGAUAAAAGAAAGCUUAUUUUAUUUAAAAACAAAAACUAUCUUAGAUAUUUUAAAUUUAACUAACUUCAUUUUGUUGUUUUAUACAUAAUAAUUACCCAAUAUUUAGUUACAUAAUUAAUAACCUUACAUGUUUUAAAAUUAACCAACCUUGAUUAUUUUAUUUCAAGUAUAUUAGAUUUUACCUUGUCUAGAUUUUAAUUAAAUUAUUUAGUAGUUCUAUUUACUAAAAUAAUUUAUAUAAUGUUUGAUAUUAUUUUUUAUUUACAUUUUGUUAUGAUAUUUGUGUGGUUUUUUUAAAAAAUAUUUCUUAAGCAAUUUAUUUAGUUUCUUAAUUUUUUUUUAUUUUUUAAAGAAAUUGUUUGAUUUAAAUUAUAAGUUUAAUAACAAUUUUACUAGCAUGGUAAUUAAUUAUCAAAUAGUUUGAUGUAUAUAAUUUCAUAGUAUAGCACCACAUAACAUGGUAUAAUAGAUAUGAUUGGAGGCAAAAAGACACUUGAACCUUAAAAGAGGUUGUAACAAGAGGAAUUUUUUAAAAAAUUCCUUUAAAUACCCUAGGUUGACGUGGAAGGUGCAUCCUCAAAAUCAACCAAGAAAAAUACUUAAUUUCCUAUUGAUAAAAAAAAAAUGUCAUGAUAAUAUUAUUAUGAAAAUAUUUUAUAGAACACAUAUAUAAUUAAGAUUUAGAAAAAAAAGGGAGUGGAAAAAAAAUAUUAUUCAAUCUUAUUCAUUAUACAAUAGUAAUUCAUGAUGUUUUUUUUUCUUUUUGUAUUUUAUUUGGUUAUUGAAUUUUAUUUUUUUUAAUUAAGUUUUUGGAUUGUGUGUUUUUUUUUUGGGGAUUGAAGUGGGGAUUGAAUCAUAUAUUGUUUUUCAUCAUAUAGCUAAAAACAUUGUUUUGGAAAAAAAAAUUUAUUAUUAAACUUUAUGGAGUCCAUUAACUGGUUUAUGAGUUUAACGAAUUAACCUGGGUUGAUCCGAUUCAUGGGUUUAGCUGGUUAAAAAAAAUUAUUAUUUUUUUUGCAAUUUCAUCAUUCAAAAUUAGAUUGAUUGAGAAUUAUGCUUCGUGAUUUUUUGUUCAAUUUCUAUAAGGUCAUCGCGGUCUUAGACAAACAUCGCAGUAUUGGGUUGGCGCUUGAUUUUGUGAUUAUCUAUUUUUGUUAUCAAGUAGUUAAAUAAAGAAUAUUUUUGGGGAAAAAUCAAGUUAUUGAUCCUAGUAAAGUCUAUAACCUGGUUCGUAGGUUUGACGGGUUGAACCAUGUGACCUAGUUCACGGGUUGAACCAUGCGACGAAAUCAAGUUAGUAUUUGAUUAUAUAUGGUGAAAAUUACGUGUUGUAUAAGUAUUUAUUAUUUUAAUGUACUAAUAAAUGUGUAAAGAUACGUUAUUUUAAUGUAGUUCUUCAAACUGUAUGUUGUUUUCAGGUACCUCACAUACUUGUCCGGAGUUGUAGCCUAUUGUUGUUUCUAGCUCUACUUUAGGCUAGUUUUAUAUGUAUGCAUGCUCAUGUCUAUUGUUGUUUAGCGUCAUUGUUGUAUGAAUAUGACUCAUCAAAAUUAUAUAUUAUGCUUGAUGGAACAUGGAAAUGAUGGGUAGGCCUGAGACACGUACCGAUGGGUUUAUUUAACAUGAAAUGAAUAAUACAUGACGUGAUUAUAUGAUUGAGAUUUCAAUGCAUAUAUAUAUUUUUUUUGUCGUUACAACUUUGUUUUUUUAUAGAUUUCAAACAUAGAUAAAAAAGGCUCGAGAGUUUUUAAAAGAGCUUCUUUAUCUGAAAAGCUUGUAUUUAAAAAACUUUAUAUUUUUAAUAAGAAUUUAUUUUUGUCCCUUAUGGAUAGGGAGAAACUAUUUAUUUAUAGAGAUUUGUAGAGGCGUUCAAGUUUUUUUGUCAAUGUCAUAUGAUAUUAUUUUAUUAAUUGAUUUUUAUUUAUGAGAUAUUGUAUUUAUGAUAAAUUAUUUUAAAUAUCUCAUCUCAUGUGUCCACUUUCCAUUGACAAAUAAAUAUAUAAAUGUUUAUUUAUUUUUUAUUUUUUUAUUUUUUAUGUAAACAUAAAAUAAAAAUGAUAUAUGACAAAUUUUAAUUUUUUAAUUUUUUUUAUUCUUUCUAUAGCUUUAUAUAUUUGUUAUUUCAGUCUUAACAAAAACAUCUCUAAAUUGAGUUGGUGCUUGAUUUUGUAAUUAUUUAUUUUUUUUAUCAUGUAAUUAAAUAAAAUUAUUAAAUUCAAUAUAAUUUAUAACAUGAGUUAAAGGAAAUUGAAUUCAAAUUAAAAUGUUGUUGUCUAAAUAACCUUGAACAAUAUAAGCAAAGUAGACACGAAAGCUCGAGGACAAUAAUCCUAUAGGUAGCAGCAAAAAUCUCUCUUUUUUUCUUAACAAAGAAGCAACUAAACAUGGGUCUAGCCAAAUUGAUAAAUAGGUAACAGGAUGCCGGGUCAUGACCGGGGCUUGUAGGAAAGCAACAGAAAGAGCUGCCAUCUGCAAAAAUGCGAUUUUUUAGGGGAGGGCUCCUGAGUUUCAUGCUUUAUGCUUGUUGGGCGACGAUUAUAAGAUAAGUCUCAAGUUUGAAUCCUAGUGUCCACAUAAAAUUAAAAAAAAACUUUUAUUUAUUUAUUUAUUAACGUGGGUGUUUGGGACAGCUUGUGUGCAUCUUGACUAAUCUCACGGACCCUAAAGUUAACGACCAUUUAAGCCUCCAGUUACCCUGAGGUUUGUGAGACUCGAACUAGUGACCUCUAAGAAGCAAACCUAGAGCCUGACUAGUUGAGUUACACCCCUCAGAAUUAACAAAAAAAAAAAAAAACUCUUGGGGUUGCAGUAAGGGCCUGUUUGGAAUUGGGGUAGCGGUAGCGGUUGCGGUUGCAGUUCAAGGUAUUUUUUGCAUAGAAAUGCAUUAAAAUAAUAUAUUUUUUUAUUUUUUAAAAAUAAUUUUUAAAGUCAGCAUAUCAAAACAAUAUGAAAACAUAAAAAGUAAUAAUUUUUAGCAAACUUUUUUAAAUUUUUUUUAAGGAAAUACUGUUGUAACAGCGUUUCCAAACAGACUCUUAAUCUGAUGCGCAAAAUCGAAGUGAUACCUUGUGUCUUCAAAAAAAUAAAAUAAAAAUUAAUAUAUCUAUACACAUACAAGUUGCUGUAAAAAUCAACAAUAACACAGGUUAUGUACUUGAUGAUUAAUACGUAUUACUACUACAUGCCAUGAAAGUUUAAAUUUACUUUUUAGGACUAAAAUCCCCUUGAAAAUUAGAGUUGCAUAGAUAUUUAUUUCAUCGUAAUUAAGGAGACAUUGGUUCUUAACAACUUGUCAAAUUAACCGUCAAUCCGAAAGGUGUCAUCCGCCGGUAAGAUCAAACUAUUAUCUUCAAAUGGUAACAUACUGCCGGGCAAUUCCAACAAUUGAGAUUAGUCAAUCUUUAUUUCCAGAGAAAGCAUGAACGGAUUUGUCAUCUCAUAACCUAAACCUAAACUGCUUGGUAAGUUUGGCAAAAUUCAAGUUAAAGAAAGGGAAAUAGAAUGAAACUUCUUGACGAUGUCAAAUGGCGCCGUUCUUGCAUGAAUAUUUGUCCCGUAAUUUCGCAAUAAGUGGAACUUGGUAAUAGCAGAGUUCAUAAUUUGUUGUUAAUACUUGUUAAUGCUCGGCAUUGUCUUGGUGGUGAUGAGUGAUGACGAGGACGUUUCCAUGGUCAAAAUGUACAUUGAAUAUGGGGUAACACCUGGUUAUUGAUUAGUGAACAGAGUGUCAUAUCAAUGACGAGGUAGCCAUCAGCUUACGGGUUUUUUUUUUAAAAAAAGAAUAUUGUUAUUUGUAGCUUUCGAGAGUUUCAAUUUAUAUUUAAAAAUCUUACUUGCUGAUAAGGAGAAAAAGGACGUUGUAGCUUGUUCGAGUGGAUGUGUUUUCAUAUCUGCAAUUUCCUAGAAGAAAUACUGAACUUUUCAACCUCGCGAACGGAACUAUUCAGGUGGUAUUUCCUCGAAGUAAGUACUUGGAAUAGGUAAUGGGUUAUCUCGGAUUGACCAACUAGUUUUGCAGGUCAAGUAAGUCACUGAAAACAUGGCUUGGUUAAUCAGGUUUUACCACCUCAACGUCUUGUUUGGCUCAGCUCGACUAGAAAUCUGGUUUGAGUCGGGCUUUGAGUUUCAGUUUUUCGGUUCAGGCUCCAGGUCAUGAGUUUCUCGAGUCUCUCUGUUAGAUCGGGUUAAGUUUAAGAACAUAGUUUUUCAUCCCUUUCUAAUAAAAAGGAAAAGAAAACAAAUUAGGCUUCGUAGGUGCCUCAUCAUUCAUGAAAAUGAUCCUUGGAAUUACAAUUUUGACAGCAGCCCAUGAAGCUUUCCACGAAAGGGAAAAGUAGCUGUUUGGAACUUUCAGCGAGUGAGAGAUCAUCAAUCAUUUAACUCUCCUGCGCAAGUAAUUUAAGCUUUCUGGACUCUAAGUGGUAGAAAUGGCCACAUACAUUUGAGGCUGGCAUAACUUUAAGCCAAAUUGGAGAAUUUCAUGGAAUUUACAAUUUUUGGAAGAGACAAUAAAAAACUACAGAUCUAUAUUCCUGCUUACGAAAAUUCUGAGUAAACUAUGCUCUCAAGCAAAUAAGUGACUGGAUGGUGUGUAGAUAACUGAUCACCAGGGAUCUUGAAUAUUUCCUAUGACAACCAUGGCUAGUUGACCUAAUGCGAGAAAAAACUAUAUAAGCCCAAAGUUGGAGUCUCAGAAUCACAGUUCAAACAACCUUCUCUUCAAGUUCCAUUCCUUGAGGGGAAAAAAAAAAAACACAACCAAGCCUGACAUUUAACCUGAACCCUGAACAAAACCAGCUGCUUCUAAAUUCUUAGUGUCCUGACACAUACAACAAAAAUCCCAUCUCCAGCCUUCUUUUAAGAAAUACCCUGACAU
rnacentral:lncRNA from 1 species